UACAGAGGGUGCGAGCGUUGUCCGGAAUCACUGGGCGUAAAGGGCGCGUAGGCGGCGCGGUAAGCGUGCGGUGAAAGCCCGGGGCUCAACCCCGGAACUGCCUUUAAGACUGCAUCGCUUGAAUCCGGGAGAGGUGAGUGGAAUUCCGAGUGUAGAGGUGAAAUUCGUAGAUAUUCGGAAGAACACCAGUGGCGAAGGCGGCUCACUGGACCGGUAUUGACGCUGAUGUGCGAAAGCGUGGGGAGCAAACAGG
rnacentral:rRNA from 1 species